AGUUUGAUCCUGGCUCAGGAUGAACGCUAGCUACAGGCUUAACACAUGCAAGUCGAGGGGAAACGACAUCGAAAGCUUGCUUUUGAUGGGCGUCGACCGGCGCACGGGUGAGUAACGCGUAUCCAACCUGCCCACCACUUGGGGAUAACCUUGCGAAAGUAAGACUAAUACCCAAUGACGUCUCUAGAAGACAUCUGAAAGGGAUUAAAGAUUUAUCGGUGAUGGAUGGGGAUGCGUCUGAUUAGCUUGUUGGCGGGGUAACGGCCCACCAAGGCUACGAUCAGUAGGGGUUCUGAGAGGAAGGUCCCCCACAUUGGAACUGAGACACGGUCCAAACUCCUACGGGAGGCAGCAGUGAGGAAUAUUGGUCAAUGGACGAGAGUCUGAACCAGCCAAGUAGCGUGCAGGAUGACGGCCCUAUGGGUUGUAAACUGCUUUUAUAAGGGAAUAAAGUGAGUCUCGUGAGACUUUUUGCAUGUACCUUAUGAAUAAGGACCGGCUAAUUCCGUGCCAGCAGCCGCGGUAAUACGGAAGGUCCGGGCGUUAUCCGGAUUUAUUGGGUUUAAAGGGAGCGUAGGCCGGAGAUUAAGCGUGUUGUGAAAUGUAGAUGCUCAACAUCUGCACUGCAGCGCGAACUGGUUUCCUUGAGUACGCACAAAGUGGGCGGAAUUCGUGGUGUAGCGGUGAAAUGCUUAGAUAUCACGAAGAACUCCGAUUGCGAAGGCAGCUCACUGGAGCGCAACUGACGCUGAAGCUCGAAAGUGCGGGUAUCGAACAGGAUUAGAUACCCUGGUAGUCCGCACGGUAAACGAUGGAUGCCCGCUGUUGGUCUGAAUAGGUCAGCGGCCAAGCGAAAGCAUUAAGCAUCCCACCUGGGGAGUACGCCGGCAACGGUGAAACUCAAAUGAAUUGAC
rnacentral:rRNA from 1 species